AUUGAACGCUGGCGGCAUGCCUAACACAUGCAAGUCGAACGGCAGCACAGCCCGCAAGGGUGGGUGGCGAGUGGCGGACGGGUGAGGAAUACAUGGGAAUCUACCCUGUCGUGGGGGAUAACGUAGGGAAACUUACGCUAAUACCGCAUACGACCUCCGGGUGAAAGCGGCGGACCGCAAGGCGUCGCGCGUCUGGAUGAGCCCAUGUCGGAUUAGCUGGUUGGCGGGGUAAAGGCCCACCAAGGCGACGAUCCGUAGCUGGUCUGAGAGGAUGAUCAGCCACACUGGAACUGAGACACGGUCCAGACUCCUACGGGAGGCAGCAGUGGGGAAUAUUGGACAAUGGGCGCAAGCCUGAUCCAGCAAUGCCGCGUGGGUGAAGAAGGCCUUCGGGUUGUAAAGCCCUUUUGUACGGGAAGAAAUCCUGUCGGUUAAUACCCGGCGGGGAUGACGGUACCGUAAGAAUAAGCACCGGCUAACUUCGUGCCAGCCGCCGCCGUA
rnacentral:rRNA from 1 species